GGUGGGGAUGACGUCAAGUCCUCAUGGCCCUUAUGACCAGGGCUACACACGUACUACAAUGGCCGGUACAAAGGGCAGCCACUUAGCGAUAAGGAGCCAAUCCCGUAAAAGCCGGUCUCAGUCCGGAUUGGAGUCUGCAACUCGACUCCAUGAAGUUGGAAUCGCUAGUAAUCGCAGAUCAGCACGCUGCGGUGAAUACGUUCCCGGGCCUU
rnacentral:rRNA from 1 species